UUUCUAUUUGGCAUUCGCGCGCAAGGUUGGCUGCGUCAGAUUCAAUCUUCAUCCUUUUCCAGUGAUGAUCUCAGUUGAAUUCCCUAAUUCAAAUUGAAUCAAGAUUAGGGAUUUAACUUGAUAGAUCCCCCUUUUAACGGUAAUAGUAAAGGUACAGUCACUGCACUUCUUGUUGAAAUCUAUAUAGUGAUGUGUCGUUGUGAUUAGUUUUAAAUGAGUUUGGCUCUGCUCAGUUUUUUAGCUGCUGAAGUUUUUUGGAUGGAAUGAAUUGUCAUUUGUCUCUGUUUUAAUUUUAAUUAUAUUCAAAUUUUGCCAAAAAGUGGGAGAUGUGAUUUCAAUUUUCCUAAUUCAGCUAUAAAACCAGUGUGUAUCUGAAGUUACGUGGUUAGCAUCUGAUCGCCCUUAGGCAUUACUGAGUCAUGCAUUGGGAUGUGGAAGUCUUGUUACUUGUUAGAGUGUUACAUUUCUUUGAAUCCUUUCUUUAGCUCUUCCACAUAUUUUUUAUGAGGUAAGAGUUUACAAGUUGAGAAACAUUGUGCUUCCGGAAGAUUACAACAAUGUCAACGAAGGAAGGCAAUGCUGGUGAAACAACUGAAAUUUACAUGGAAGAUUCUUCUGUAGAUGCUGAGAGACAUUUGUCUGACACGUACCAUGGAAGUAAUUAGGAAUCUUACCAAAGAAAAUGGGCUGCAAGAUGACACUCCGUUGACACAGAUUGCUCAUGACAAGCUUGUACAAAUGGUUAUCGAGCUAAAGUUUUAGAAUGAGUUCUUGAAGUCUCAGUUUGAGGCUUUGAAAAAUCUUCAAUCAGCAGAUGAUGGAUCUCAACAGAGAACAGAAGCACGUGAUAAAAAAACUGGGAAAUCUGCUGAUAUGGAUGUACUCCAUAAAAGGAUUGAGUCCUUGAAUAGAGAACUUCUCGAAGAAAAACAAACAAGAGGUGCAGCAGAGGAGGCUUUGAAGCAUCUUCGUGAGGCACACUCUGAAGCAGAUGCAAAAUCCCAAGAGCAAUCUGCAAAGCUUGCUGAAGGAAAGGGAUGACCUUGAAGCCCAGUUUCAUGAAAUUAACAAAGCUGCUGAACGAGCAUCAUUACAGCAGUCAACACUGCAGCAAGAUAUAGAACGCAAGAGGCAACAAGCAAAUGAUGCAUU
rnacentral:misc_RNA from 1 species